CGGGGAUGACUUGUGGGUAGCGGUGAAAUUCCAAUCGAGCCCGGAGAUAGCUGGUUCUCCCCGAAAUAGCUUUAGGGCUAGCCUCAAGGUGAGAGAUACGGAGGUAGAGCACUGAAUGUCCUAGGGGGUAUUGCACCUACCGAAGACUAUCAAACUCCGAAUGCCGUCAUCUUAUACUUGGGAGUCAGACUGUGGGUGAUAAGAUUCAUAGUCGAAAGGGCAACAGCCCAGAUCGUCAGCUAAGGUCCCUAAAUGUAAGUUAAGUGGUAAAGGAUGUGGGAUUGCACAGACAACCAGGAUGUUGGCUUAGAAGCAGCCACUCAUUCAAAGAGUGCGUAAUAGCUCACUGGUCGAGUGAUCCUGCGCCGAAGAUUUCCGGGGCUAAAACUUACUACCGAAGCUACGGCAUCAGUAAUGAUGGGUAGGGGAGCUUCCCAUACGGGUUGAAGCAUGACCGUAAGGACAUGUGGACAGUAUGGGAGUGAGAAUGUUGGCAUGAGUAGCGAGAUGUGGGUGAGAAUCCCACAGGCCGUAAACCCAAGGUUUCCAGGGGAAGGUUCGUCCGCCCUGGGUUAGUCGGGACCUAAGCUGAGGCCGAAAGGCGUAGGUGAUGGACAACAGGUUGA
rnacentral:rRNA from 1 species